CAGGGUCCCACAAAUUCUGAAGCUGAUCUUAUUUACCUGAAAGACGACCCCUUGAAGACAAGAUAGUUCCAGCAGUAUCUGUCAGUACCAUCAACAAGCACAUGCUGAGGAGUUACAUAUCUCCACUCAAGUGGCCUGAAACACCACUGGGCAGGGAAAGUCCUAGAAGGCCAGUUCUGCUUAAUAGGAGAGAUGAGCUGAGCUGGCUGAUCGUCAGUUGAUAUCGCACCGGACACAAGAAGAGUGACAAGAUGGGCUGUCUGCUUAGAUGCUGGCUUCUAAGCCCUCUCCUGUGGCUGGACCAUUUAACCCUCAAAAGAUUGAGUCACUCAACAAGAUUUUAUUGAGAACCAGCUCCAUAUGGGGCACAGAACCAUGCCUUGGGCAUAUAAGACAAACGAAGGAUCUCAGCAGCAGAAGAUAAGCAUAUGAAAGACCAGCCAUCUGACCCAACCGUGGGACAAGACAAAAUAGUGUGUGUGUGCUUCCUGCUAUCCCGAUUUCUCUGCCACUCACUGCAGUGUCUGUGAACCACCAAUAGUGUGGCCUUCUGCUUUCCUGAUACUGUCCUCUUGCUUUAGUGCCUUAGACAGCACAGAGAAGGACAGGACUCUUGAGUUUUAAUUCUGCAAAUAGCUCUCUAACCUCGUACCCAGUUUGUCUCGUUGCAAAAGUGACCAACAGGAGAGGGAAAGGUUCUGCUUGGUAGGUUUUAUGCUGGGUUCAGAAGGAGACAGACUAUUCUGGAACUGGAGAGAGAGCUGUCUCUCAGAACCAAGAUGGUCCUGCUGUGGGAUAUUACUGAGAAGGUCUCUCCUGUGACAAACACCUCUGCCCAGGCCAGACUCUAUGAGGCUAGAAGAGCUCCUCCCCCUCUGGCUUCAUGGGUACUGUUCCAUUCAGACAGUAUGCUUUCCUUGAAGGUCCCCAACUCACCCCCUGAAUGCUUCCCCUCUUUCCCUGGCUCUGCAAAAGCUGCCUAAGGACCCUAAUGAUACUCAGCUUCCAAGCAGACUUGGGACAGGAAGCUGGUGCUCUUCCUUUCCUACAGAGGCACAGCUGCUCCCAUCCGGUGGGUGCAGAGCCAGACUUGCCACUUACGGACGGAAGUGAGGUGCCACUGACUUCUGCCAGCAGGAGGAUGAGAUGUCUACAUCCCAUCGAAGGACAUGCCCAGAUCCUUCCUGGCCACGUGGUGAGCAAAAAUCUGCCAUUGAAGUCUGCUGCCUUGGCAGUCUGCAGGCUGCAAGUUCAUGAGGACCAGGAGCCAGGAAAUGAAUUAGAAAGCAGCAGGGCCACAGGCGGUCUUGAGGAGUCUGGCCUGGGAAGAACUCAGGGGCAGAAUGAUCCAGCCACAGGACAAGGUAUCACCACACUCACUUGGACAACAGAAGGCCCGGCUCGAGGGCAGAGGGGCCUGCAGGACACCGUGGGAAUUCCAGGGCUCCUCCUUGGCCACAUCCAGAAGGCUUGUUUUUUCUUGGAAGGUGCCCAUCAAGCUGCCACUGCCGUGGGGACACCCAUCCCUGCAUCCCCCUUCGCUUUGCUGAAGGGUGUCAGCUUUGUUGCUGUGGUAACGGGCAGAGCCAAUGAUGUUAGUUCACAGGCCCCUAAGCUGUGGAGGUAAACGGGACCUGUGAGAAAGUCCUUCCUUAUAACAACGGAAACCUCUCCUCCUGGCACUUCUUACUGUUAGCUGGGAUUCUGCAGCUCCAGAAAUCAGGCUUCUCUUUGUGUGACAGUCUUCCAAGUCUUCGAAGGCAUUCAAGAGUCACAAUAUCCAUAUUAUCUGGGCAAAUCGCCUUUGUUUCUGCAGUGACUGUUUCUAAACUCCUCUUUACCCUCCUGUUCUCACUAGCUGUUUCUAACAGCCAGGCACAGAGGCUUGGGAAUUAAACUGCCUGGGCUCCUGCUGGGUGAUCACGGGCAAGUUACUCACCCUCUCUGGGCCUUUUGAACCACUUAAAAAUUUUAUUUAUUUAUUUAUGAGAG